rnacentral:rRNA from 1 species
GACGAACCGUGCGAACGUUAUUCGGAAUCACUGGGCUUAAAGCGCGUGUAGGCGGGCCGCCACGUCAGCUGCUGAAAUCCCCCGGCUCAACCGGGGAACGGGCACCGAUACGAGCGGCCUGGAGGGGGGUAGGGGGCACUGGAACUUCCGGUGGAGCGGUGAAAUGCGUUGAGAUCGGAAGGAACGCCCGUGGCGAAAGCGAGUGCCUGGACCCUUACUGACGCUGAGGCGCGAAAGCCAGGGGAGCAAACGGG